UCUGGACUUAGGACCCACCCUCAAUCCAGCAGACCUCAGCUAAUCACAUCUGUGAUGACCCAAUUUCAACAAAGGCACCAGUAUCAGGUACCAGGAUGACAUCUUUUGGGGAUCUCUAUCAAUUACCGUGGACACCCAUCAAGCAGUAUCCAAAGGGCCUGAGGAGUCUGUCCUCACCCCUUCAUGAAGGCCACCAGCAGAAUAGGGGCUCUUGGGGCAGAGUCCCUGAGGAGGCUUAGUGUGGGUGGUCAUGGGCGAGGUUGAGACGGGGCUGUCUCUGCAGUGGGGUCCAGGCCCUGGUUAAUCCUGAUUGUCAGCCUGACUUGACUGAGAUGCCCAGCAGAUUGGCAAAUCUCACUCCUGGCGUGGCCAGAGAUGAUUGGCAUGCGGGACAGGAAACUGAGGGCGGAAGUCCCACCCCAUGAGAAGGGUGCUGUCCAAUAGGCUCACAGCCUGGACGGAGUGGAAAGGGGAAGGAAGAGGAAGUCGGCCUGCCCGGAAAAGCGCUGUUCCGCUGAAACGAAUGUGUCCUCUGCUUCUGUUGCUGCCGGUGGAUUCCGACUCCGGCGCAUUCAGCCUUCAACGUGGACUCGCAGGCUGCCUCUCCUGGCCUCCUGGCCUCUGCCUCGCGCUGGUGCUGUACUCUUGGUCUCUCUGGUUCUGCAGCUUCCAGCUUCUCAGCCUGAGUGGCAGCGGCUGUGGCUUCCCCACCUCUGGUCCUUCUACUGACUUCUUCUGUUGCACAUGGAAGGACCACGAGGCACUAAAGAUGCCCAGGUUCCCAGCUACCUUCUUCUGUCGAUGAGCGGAAACCCACUUGUCCCCAGCACGUGUGCAUCAACCCCGUCAGCUGGUUCGGCAGCAUGCACAGCCCUGAGGGCCACCUGCCAGCCUCCGCCACCAAUCCAUGGAACCCCUGGUGCGUCAUCCCUGGUGGAAGCCUCCCUCCUGUGAUCAACAAGACUCAGAACGUGAGCUGUGCAGUGCAGAGUGGAGGACAGGAAGCAAACAUUCUGGAACGGGGUGCUUCUGUCUCCCCGUGGGAACAGUGCUGACACCCACAUGUCUGGGAAUGAGUAGAGGAGUUCAACCACUUCAGCCCGGCUCGGGACGGUUCCGUGACGCUGUCCAGAGCAUCGUGCCACUGUGUGACAUGGUGGUUACGGAACUGCCACAACCCAGCGGUGAUCAGGCUGCUUUUGGAGUAACUGCCACAGGGACCGUGCUGGUGGCUGCGGGCUGGGACGGGGGUUGACCUUUGUGGUACGAGCCCGCCGGCAGGCGUGACAGCUCCAGCUCCAGCUCCAGCCAGAACCAGAGACCCGUGGUGGUGGCCCUGAAAUAAUCUCAUUUCUUUUAGCCCCAGGGAGAGAAAUGCUGCAAAGGAAACCGGAAUUGAAUUGUGUAGACUGUGGAAACAGAGGAAAUUGGACCCCUGGGUUUGUCAGUCUCUGCUGUGAAAACCC